CCUACGGGAGGCAGCAGUGAGGAAUAUUGGUCAAUGGCCGGAAGGCUGAACCAGCCAAGCCGCGUGAAGGACGAAGGUGCUCCGGGUUGUAAACUUCUUUUGUCCAGGGACAAAAUCAGGCUCGUGUGCCUGACUGCAGGUACUUUACGAAAAAGCGUCGGCUAACUCCGUGCCAGCAGCCGCGGUAAUACGGAGGACGCGAGCGUUAUCCGGAUUUAUUGGGUUUAAAGGGGGCGUAGGCGGGCUGUUAAGUCAGCGGUAAAAUCCCGGGGCUCAACCCCGGCUAGCAGUUGAAACUGGAUGCCUUGAGAUGUCGAGAGGUAGGCGGAAUUCGCGGUGUAGCGGUGAAAUGCAUAGAUAUUGCGAAGAACCCCGAUUGCGAAGGCAGCAUACCGGCG
rnacentral:rRNA from 1 species